GAACACGGCCAUAGUGAUCAGGAAAUACCUGUUCCCUUUCCGAACACAGAAGUCAAGCUGGUCACGUCUGUAAUUAGUCUCCGUCAAGAGGCGAAACACAGAUGCCGUCUUCG
rnacentral:rRNA from 1 species